rnacentral:lncRNA from 1 species
AGUUAUAGAAGGACUAAUUUGCAAAUAUUACUAAUUAUUUGAUUUGAUCAAAUAUGGAUUGAAUUAAAUUAGAUCUAAUCUGAUUGGAUUUGAUUUAAUUUGGAUUUUCUAGUCUAAAUAGGAUUUGGAGUUAAUUUCUAAUUGAGUUUGACUCAAUUUAGAUUCAAAUCAGAUUAGAAUUUUGUUAAGAAACCAAAGUCUCACC